rnacentral:rRNA from 1 species
GACGAACGCUGGCGGCGUGCCUAAUACAUGCAAGUCGAACGAGAGCGCCCGGUGCUUGCACUGGUCAAUCUAGUGGCGAACGGGUGAGUAACACGUGGGUAACCUGCCCAUCAGAGGGGGAUAACAUCCGGAAACGGAUGCUAAAACCGCAUAGGUCUUCGAACCGCAUGGUUUGAAGAGGAAAAGAGGCGCAAGCUUCUGCUGACGGAUGGACCCGCGGUGCAUUAGCUAGUUGGUGAGGUAACGGCUCACCAAGGCCGUGAUGCAUAGCCGACCUGAGAGGGUGAUCGGCCACAUUGGGACGGAGACACGGCCCAAACUCCUGCGGGAGGCAGCAGUAGGGAAUCUUCCGCAAUGGACGCAAGUCUGACGGAGCAGCGCCGCGUGAGUGAAGAAGGUUUUCGGAUCGUAAAACUCUGUUGUUAGAGAAGAACAAGUGCUAGAGUAACUGUUAGCGCCUUGACGGUAUCUAACCAGAAAGCCACGGCUAACUACGUG